AUUGAACGCUAGCGGGAUGCCUUACACAUGCAAGUCGAACGGAGUGGCGAACGGGUGAGUAAUGUAUCGGAACGUGCCCAGUAGCGGGGGAUAACUACGCGAAAGCGUAGCUAAUACCACAUACUAUUGGAGCGGCCGAUAUCGGAUUAGCUUGUUGGUGGGGUAACGGCUCACCAAGGCGACGAUCCUUAGCUGGUGUGAGAGGAUGACCAGCCACACUGGGACUGAGAGACGGCCCAGACGCCUACGGGAGGCAGCAGUGGGGAAUUUUGGACAAUGGGGGAAACCCUGAUCCAGCCAUCCCGCGUGUGCGAUGAAGGCCUUCGGGUUGUAAAGUACUGUCGGCAGGAAAGCGGUACCUGCAGAAUAAGCACCGGCUAACUACGUGCCAGCAGCCGCGGUAAUAC
rnacentral:rRNA from 1 species